rnacentral:rRNA from 1 species
UACGUAGGGUGCGAGCGUUGUCCGGAAUUAUUGGGCGUAAAGCGCGUGUAGGCGGCUUUGCAAGUCGGGUGUGAAAGCCCUCAGCUUAACUGAGGAAGUGCGCCCGAAACUGCAUUGCUUGAGUACCGGAGAGGGUGGCGGAAUUCCCCAAGUAGAGGUGAAAUUCGUAGAUAUGGGGAGGAACACCGGUGGCGAAGGCGGCGUCCUGGACCAACACUGACACUGAUGAGCGAAAGCCAGGGGAGCAAACGGG